GAUGAACGCUGGCGGCGUGCCUAAUACAUGCAAGUCGAGCGAACGGACGAGAAGCUUGCUUCUCUGAUGUUAGCGGCGGACGGGUGAGUAACACGUGGAUAACCUACCUAUAAGACUGGGAUAACUUCGGGAAACCGUAGCUAAUACCGGAUAAUAUUUUGAACCGCAUGGUUCAAAAGUGAAAGACGGUCUUGCUGUCACUUAUAGAUGGAUCCGCGCUGCAUUAGCUAGUUGGUAAGGUAACGGCUUACCAAGGCAACGAUGCAUAGCCGACCUGAGAGGGUGAUCGGCCACACUGGAACUGAGACACGGUCCAGACUCCUACGAGAGGCAGCAGUAGGGAAUCUUCCGCAAUGGGCGAAAGCCUGACGGAGCAACGCCGCGUGAGUGAUGAAGGUCUUCGGAUCGUAAAACUCUGUUAUUAGGGAAGAACAUAUGUGUAAGUAACUGUGCACAUCUUGACGGUACCUAAUCAGAAAGCCACGGCUAACUACGUG
rnacentral:rRNA from 1 species